CCCUUAGAUGUUCUGGGCCGCACGCGCGCUACACUGACUACUUCAACGAGUUGUUCCCUUGAUCGAAAGGUCUGGGUAAUCUUUGAAAGGUAGUCGUGAUGGGGAUAGAUCCUUGCAAUUUUUGAUCUUCAACGAGGAAUUCCUAGUAAACGCAAGUCAUCAGCUUGCAUUGAUUACGUCCCUGCCCUUUGUACACACCGCCCGUCGCACCUACCGAUUGAAUGGUCCGGUGAAUCUUUAGGACUGUGGCUGAGGCCUUGCCUUGUGCGGGUCUGGCCGUGGGAAUUUAGUUAAACCUUACCAUUUAGAGGAAGGUGAAGUCGUAACA
rnacentral:rRNA from 1 species